rnacentral:lncRNA from 10 species
AGAGAGAAAAGGGCGAAGCCAGCGCGAGAUUAGGAAGGAGAGGAGGGUAGAGACGGAGUCGGCGAGAUGCUGGAGAAUUCAGGAUUGUGGGCACCCUGAGCGGGAGAGAAACUUCAGGAAGCACGUCGGAGGCGGGGCAUCUGUGGGAGGAAGGCAAAUUUUGCAGAGCGCUAAAGGAUGCCGGGAGGGACAAGUUAGCCAUGGGGAGACCUCCCAGAAAUCCGGAGCUGAAAACAGGGCAGUUAAGUAAGCAAGAGCUGGUUAGCUGAAUACGAGGUCCCUAGAAUGUAAAUUAUAAAUAAGAAAGAAAGAAACGAAAGAAAAAGAAAAGAGCGCGCGCAGGGUCCCGGGUCCAGGCGCUCAGAGCAGCCCGUGCGGGGGCCCUCCCGGCCCACAGUAGCCGCCGCCCCGCGUCCCUGAAGUGGCGCCCGCGUGGCUACUCGGGGAUCUCCCAGGCCUCGGGGGCCCAUUUGAAAACCUCGAGAGGCCUUGCACAUCCUGCCAGGACUGGAGCUGCGGGGACCUUUCAGUCUUCCACGGAUGCUCCUCUGCACGUGUUUUCCAGGAAAACAUUUAGGCCUCGGAAGCGUCUUUGAGAGCCUAGAAAUGCCGGUUGAGCGUGAAAUCCAGUCCAACCUACUCACAGAGUACUAGACCUAGAAACGACGUUUGAAAGAGAUGUGGGUUCCAUGUUGACUUAAAUUUUGUUCCAUUUAUAACAACGCUUUUGUUUUCAAAGAAAAGAAAAAUUUCUUAGCCAAACUUCUCAUGUCCCCGGCCCCCUGUUCCUGCCUCGCUCUCUCCCUCGACAAACGCGGGGAGCCCUGGAACGGGAGGGCCGGUGACCGCGAAUACGGUA